AACGAACGCUGGCGGCAUGCCUAACACAUGCAAGUCGAACGAGACCUUCGGGUCUAGUGGCGCACGGGUGCGUAACGCGUGGGAACCUGCCCUUAGGUUCGGAAUAACUCCCCGAAAGGGGUGCUAAUACCGGAUAAUGUCUUCGGACCAAAGAUUUAUCGCCUUUGGAUGGGCCCGCGUUGGAUUAGCUAGUUGGUAGGGUAAAAGCCUACCAAGGCGACGAUCCAUAGCUGGUCUGAGAGGAUGAUCAGCCACACUGGGACUGAGACACGGCCCAGACUCCUACGGGAGGCAGCAGUGGGGAAUAGUGGACAAUGGGCGAAAGCCUGAUACAGCAAUGCCGCGUGAGUGAUGAAGGCCUUAGGGUUGUAAAGCUCUUUUACCCGGGAUGAUAAUGACAGUACCGGGAGAAUAAGCGCCGGCUAACUCCGUG
rnacentral:rRNA from 1 species